rnacentral:lncRNA from 1 species
AAAGAAAGGCCUGGAUUGAGAGAGCAUUGUUACAAAUGAGAAGAAGAGUUAGAACCUAAUGGCUUGAUUAGAAAUGGAGAUGGGGUGGUCUGUCUGAGUAGGUGGGAAAAAAGAUGGAUAAAUGGGAAGAAAACUGGGUUCUGAGAGAGAGCUAAUAAGUGUUUUGUUUUUCAGGGGAAAAAAAAAUGCUUUCUAAGUAAAUCUAAAAGCCUUCCUUUUCUAACAGAAUUUUAGAACAAGAAGUUAAUUGCCGAGCAUGUCCAAAUGCAUGGGUAGAAGUGUUUGGAGAGACAAGCUGUGUCUGCAGAAGAGACUUGGAAGUUAUCUGGGUAAUGGGGCUGGAGGCUGCUGAUCACUCACUCACUGAGAGGACACACCAGGCAGUAAGACAGGGCUACGGUAGUACAUUUGGGAAAGUCCAGUAAAGCCCUUCAUAGAAAAAUGUUGAUAGAAUGUAAAUCACACCAGAUGAAUAUUCCUUCCAGAACAUUCCAGAGAGAACUUUAUAUCUUGAGAGAUAAUUUUAUAUAAUUUCCUAAAUUCGCAGGAUUUAAAAGAGAAAGGGAAGGAUUUAGCUUAGUUCUCGAACACCCUGGCCUUCCUCUCCACGAUACUUCAUAGAGUAUCGUUUCACCACUGGCCUUCCUCUCCAUGUUCCUUCAUAGAGUAUUGUUUCACCACUGGCCUUCCUCUCCAUGUUCCUUCAUAGAGUAUCGUUUCACCACUGGCCUUCCUCUCCAUGUUCCUUCAUAGAGUAUCGUUUCACCACUGGCCUUCCUCUCCAUGUUCCUUCAUAGAGUAUUGUUUCACCACUGGCCUUCCUCUCCAUGUUCCUUCAUAGAGUAUCGUUUCACCACUGGCCUUCCUCUCCAUGUUCCUUCAUAGAGUAUUGUUUCACCACUGGCCUUCCUCUCCAUGUUCCUUCAUAGAGUAUUGUUUCACCACUGGCCUUCCUCUCCAUGUUCCUUCAUAGAGUAUUGUUUCACCACUGGCCUUCCUCUCCAUGUUCCUUCAUAGAGUAUCAUCUCACCACUGGCCUUCCUCUCCAUGUUCCUUCAUAGAGUAUUGUUUCACCACUGGCCUUCCUCUCCAUGUUCCUUCAUAGAGUAUUGUUUCACCACUGGCCUUCCUCUCCAUGUUCCUUCAUAGAGUAUUGUUUCACCACUGGCCUUCCUCUCCAUGUUCCUUCAUGGAGUAUUGUUUCACCACUGGCCUUCCUCUCCAUGUUCCUUCAUGGAGUAUUGUUUCACCACUGGCCUUCCUCUCCAUGUUCCUUCAUGGAGUAUCAUCUCACCACUGGCCUUCCUCUCCAUGUUCCUUCAUAGAGUAGUGUUUCACCACUGGCCUUCCUCUCCAUGUUCCUUCAUGGAGUAUCAUCUCACCACUGGCCUUCCUCUCCAUGUUCCUUCAUGGAGUAUCAUCUCACCACUGGCCUUCCUCUCCAUGUUCCUUCAUAGAGUAGUGUCUCACCACUGGCCUUCCUCUCCAUGUUCCUUCAUAGAGUAGUGUUUCACCACUGGCCGACUCUGGAGAUUCUUUAAUCUCUGACCUCAGGAAUGUGAGAUAAAAUUGCUCCUGAAAAAAAAAUUUUUUAAAGAUCAUAUAAUAUUCAGAAGUUGCUGAAGUUCAAGAGACAGUGAGUAAUGUAUGGUCCUUCAUUUAAGAUGCUAACAUUGUUGGGCUUUUCUAUGAUUUUAAGUUUGAAGUGGAUAUUUUCCACUGCACUUUACACAUUGUCAUUAUGCAAAACAUCCAGUGUAGUUAUAGAAAGAUCAAUUUUGUUUCAAUUUCUUAUUUCUCUAUAAAAGUAGUGCACAGUAGUGUGCCAUAAUUGAAUACUAUGCAAAAGAUGCAAGAAGUAAAAUCUUGCCUUCUAAAUAUAACCACAUUUUGGUACAUUGUUCCUCAGUGUGUUUGUAUUUGUCUUACAUUAAAUAUUGUAAAAUGGACUGAGUACCUAGCAGGCCAAAGCACAUUAUUUACUCAAUAGUGAAAAGCUCUAGUUCCCAGAAAAAAAGGGUCCUUUAAAACUUUCAUGUAAAACUAAAGUAUAAAAUGUGCACAUUUUUGCAGAAGAUGACAAUAAUAUGAGAAACUCAAGCUAAGUAGAGAGUGGCUCCUGUUCUAAGAACACGUCGUUCCCAGCUGCAUUGCAUAUCCAUCACUGAAGUUUCCGUCUCAGCCAAAGAAAGUGAGCAGAACACCUGAGAUGCUUUGUGUAAUCCUCCCAGGUGUGGGUUCUGGGCGCUGCCUGCCAUGGGAGUGCUUCAGAGACUUUUUGAGCUGCUGGCUGUAUUGGGGAAGAGGAGCCACCAGCUGCAGCCUUGCUGGAUAAGCUCUGUGCUUUGCCUUACGCUCACCAGAUGGCCUAAGUCAAGGCACUGCAUAUACAGGGAAGAAAGUGUAGGUAAAGCUUUUGAUAGAUACCAGUGUCAUGGAGUCGUUUCUGUACCACAGGGCGAUUGUUGUCUUGGUUUGUUGCGAUGGAGUAGUUACUAGUUUGAAGGGCUUAAACUUCUACUUUGUCAUUUAUGUAGAGUAUUCAUAGAUGAGUGGCAUACAUUUAGAUAUAAAAUAAAAUUAGAUCACAGUUCCCAUAUAAUACUUUUUAUGAUACUCAUAGACUAAUGAUUUAAAUAAUUUUGUAAAUAUUUAGUGCUUCCAAUCAAGGUGUUUUGUAACACACAAAUUCC